CCCUUAGAUGUUCUGGGCCGCACGCGUGCUACACUGAGUGGAUCAGCGGGUCAGGUUGCGCGAAAGUGUUUCCUAAUCUUGAAAUCCGCUCGUGAUGGGGAUUGACGGUUGCAAUUUUCCGUCAUGAACGAGGAAUACCUUGUAAGCGCGGGUCAUCAUCCCGCGCUGAAUACGUCCCUGCCCUUUGUACACACCGCCCGUCACUCCUACCGAUUGAGUGGUCCGGUGAGGCUUUGGGAUCUGAGCGGAAAGAGCGUUUCGCUGUUUCUGCUCGGAAAACUCAGUCGAACCUUAUCAUUUAGAGGAAGGAGAAGUCGUAACA
rnacentral:rRNA from 1 species